AGAUAAUUUGUGUGCUUGGGAGUCCCUGAUGAUUGAAUAGACCAAGAUCUUGCCAUGGCUGCAAUUUUAGAGAGACGUGAAAGCACAAGCUUAUGGGGACGCUUCUGCGACUGGAUAACCAGCACCGAAAACCGUCUUUACAUUGGGCGGUUCGAUGUUUUGAUGAUCCCUACCUUAUUGACCGCAACUUCUGCAUUUAUUAUCGCCUUCAUUGAGGCUCCUCCAGUAGAUAUUGAUGGGAUCCAUGAACCUGUUUCUGGUUCUCUAUUUUAUGGAAACAAUAUUCUUUCUGGUGCCAUUAUUUCAACCUCUGCAGCUAUAGGUUUGCAUUUUUACCCAAUAUGGGAAGCGGCAUUCGUUGAUGAAUGGUUAUACGAUGGUGGUCCUUAUGAGUUAAUUGUCCUACACUUCUUACUUAGUGUAGCUUGUUACAUGGGUCGUGAGUGGGAACUUAGUUUCCGUCUGGGUAUGUGCCAUUGGAUUGCUGUUGCAUAUUCAACUUCUGUUGCAGCUACUAUUGCUAUUGGUCAAGGAAGUUUCUCAGAUGGUAUGCCUCUAGGAAUAUAUGGUAUUUUCGACUUGAUGAUUAUAUUCCAGGAGGACCACAACAUCCUUAUGCACCCAUUUCACAUGUUAGGCGUACCUGGUGUAUUAGGCGGCUCCCUAUUCAGUGCUAUGCAUGGUUCCUUAGUAACCUCUAGUUUGAUCAGGGAAACCACUGAAAAUGAGUCUGCUAAUGCAGGUUACAGAUUCGGUCAAGAGGACGAAACCUAAAAUAUCGUAGCUGCUCAUGGUUAUUUUGGCCUAUUGACCUUCCAAUAUGCUAGUUUCAACAAUUCUCGUUCCUUACAUUUCUUCCUAGCUGCUUGGCCCGUAGUAGGUAUUUGGUUUACUGCUUGGGGUAUUAGCACUAUGGCUUUCAACCUAAAUUGUUUCAAUUUCAACCAAUCCGUAGUUGACAGUCAAGGUCGUGUCAUCAGCACUUGGGCUGAUAUAAUCAACCAUGCUAACCUUGGUAUGAAAGUUAUGCAUGAACGUAAUGCUCACCAUUUCCCUCUAGACUUAGCUGUUGUUGAAGCUCCAUCUACAAAUGGACAAGACUUCGUUCUUAGUGUAUACGAGUCGUUGAAGGAACAAUACCAAAUGUCUUGUUAUAUUUGGUAUUGUUCUGUUCAAUUCAGUAGUUUUUUAUUAGCAUGAUUCUUUCUUUCAAUCCAAUAAGUUUAUUUACUUCACUUCAACAUUUCUCGUAUGGUUCAUGAUUAAUUAACAUACUGUUUUUCUUUUCGUUUCGUGGUGUACUAAUCCAUAAUUAAUGUACAUUCCGUGAAAUCCUUGAAUUUUUCCUUCAUUUCUAUUCUAAGAUAAGAUAAUAAAAAGAUGAAUAAAUAGAGCUUUUAGCUUUCUACUUUUUCCUAGAGAUUUAUAAAAAAUAGAAAGAUAGGUAUGGGCAGAUGUAGCCAAGUGGAUCAAGGCAAUGGAUUGUGAAUCCACCAUGCGCGGCCCGUCGUUCGCCCGACUUCUUCUAUUUACAACAAUGAAGAAUGAAACUAUCACUAUAUUUCUUCUUUUUCCUACUUUGUCUUCCAAGUGCGGGCCAAGGGGUUGUGGGUUUUUUUCUACCAAUUGGGGCCUUCCCUUCACCACCCCCAUGGGGAUGGUCUACUGGGUCCAUAACUACUCCUCUUACUAUAGGACGCUUACCUAGCCAACAUUUAGAUUCAACUCUACCCAAAAUUUUCUGAUUCACCCCAACAUUACCCACAUGUCUGACUAUUGGUGAGCAGUUUUUGGAUAUCAAACAAACCUCCCCAUAUGGUAAUCUUAAUGUGGCCGAUUUACCCUCUUUUGCAAUCAGUUUCGCUAUAGCACCUGCUGCUCUAGCAAAUUGUCCACCUUUUCUAAGUGUUAUUUCCAUAUUAUGUAUGACAGUGCCUAAGGUCAUAUCGGUUGAAGUAGAUUCUUCUUUUUGAUCUAGAAAAACCCCUUCCAAACAAGCUUCUUCCAAAGCAUACAGCUUUCUGGAUGUAUAUGAUGAUAUCUAGACAGGUGGAUCUUAUAUGAAUCGUAUGAUGAAGUGCCACAUGAGUAGCUAUAUAGGAAUCCAAAUCUACCGAAUCACUCAUCCUAUGAUUUUCUACAUCGUAGGUCUCCCCAUUCCGUCAUCUGGCUUAUGUUCUUCAUGUAGCACUCAGACCGAAUGACUCUAUGAAAUUACGUCGAUACCACAUAUUACGGGUAACGUAUGAGACAUCUCCGUUCUUCCCCCAGGGGAUCUUUAGAAUUACCAUUGCUUAGCUUUCAAUUUGCCUCUGACCAUCAAAUGAAAUGUGAAUAACCCAUCCCCUUCUCUUUGAAACAAGGGGCGGUUCCGGCUCCAUCCGUGCUUCAAACAAUUUAGUCUUCUCUAUAUUACCAUAUCUCUAGAGUAAAUCAUUUUAUAUGAGGAACCACUGAACUCAAUCACCUGCUGCCGUUACUCUUCAGUUUUCUGUUGAGGUCUAUCCCGUAAAGGUACUCAAAUUGGAUCAGUGAUUGAUUUUUAGGUUUUUUCGUCAACUUAAUUGGUUACUUCCAAUUACAUAAAUCAAUGGUUCACACCGCACUCAAAGGUAGGGCAUUUCCCAUUGAUAUAGGAGCUUCUGUAUCAGAUACAAUGGUAUCUCCAAUUAUAGCCCCUCUGGGAUGUCAAAUAUAUCUCUUCUCACCAUCCUCAUAGUGUACGAGACAAAUGUAUGCAUUUCGAUUAGGGUCAUAUUCUAUGGUUACGAUUCUACCAGAUAUGUCGUUUUCAUUCCGUCAAAAAUCGAUUUGACGGUAUAGACGCUUAUGACCCCCCCCCCUCUAUGCCCUGCAGUAAUGAUUCCUUUGGCAUUACGACCUUUACCAAAACGAUGUUGUCCAUAGAUCAAAUUAUUUCGUGGAUUGGAUUUCACUUGACUGUCUAUGGCUCCAUUACGUGUGCUCGGGGUAGAAGUUUUGUAUAAAUGUAUCGCCUAUAAAGUAUUUUGAUUUAAGUCCUCUUCUCUAUAAGAAGUGGAAUAGAAUAACCCGGUUGAAGCGUAAUGAUCAUAUGUCUGUAAUGCAUUCUAUGCCCCAUAAGAGGUCCCAUUCUUCUACCCUUUCUCGGGAUCGGGAGUCGAUGACUAUUCAUAGCUAUUACCUUGACACCAAAGAAGAGUUCAAUCCAAUGCUUUAUUUCUGCCCUAGUUGAUCCUAUUUCGACAUUAGAAGUCUAUUGAUUGUUCCCCAAUAAUCGAAGAAUUUUUUCGGUAAAUACUGUCCAUAAAUCCAUUUUCUUCCUUAUGAGUUCUAGUAUCGAUAAGAAUUCUAGUUCUUACUAUUCAUAUGUUAUGGUAUGAAUAUACCAUACCAAUUCAUUAUGUAUGGAUGAUGAGAUUCGAUUGAUACACAGCCAAUUCCAAUAGACUUAUUAAACAUUAAUCAAAAUCAAAGAAGAGCUCGCUCGGUAGAUCAAUAAAAGAUCGAAGUGCUUUCAAUUAACACAUUAGAGUACAAUAGGGAUAACUUAACACCAACCCAAUCUCGAAGGAUUGAUGAAGAUCGUCCAGUUCCUAUAGAACCUAUCACUAAAAUACCCCUAAAAGGGGAUAGGUCUAAGCGGAGCGAAAACGGUUUCCAUGAGAUGGGAAAUGAGAACUAUUAGCCCCACACGAUGUUUGUGAAUAAGUGAUUGUCUAAUAAUGAGCAAGGAAUAUUCGACUUUCUGCUAAAUAAGAUCUAUUGAACUCAGAAUUCAUUAGAUACUUUUAUGAAUGUCAACUAAGUAUCACAAGUAAAUUGAUCCCGGUUGUUUAAUCAUUUGAUAACCAGAGUCAUUCUUUGAGAAAGGAUCACUAUGAGUCAGACUCCAUAGAAUUUGAUCAAUCCUUUUUUCUGUCGUUAAGGCGGAGAACUGAACCAAGAACUCUCUUUCUUCAUCGUCAAUCAAAUCAUUGUUCGCGACCUAGGAUUCUAUUUUCCCAUCAAUUCAAUCGCUGUUCAGGUUUUUUCCUCUUCUUAUCAAUGAAUAGAUCUCUUUACUCGUACGACUUAAACAUCUCGUAUUUAUAGAAAAAGUGAUUGGAUUGACGGGAUUUGGUAUGAGACUUAUGAGAUCGAUGAUACAGAUGAGAUUGAUAUUCAAAUCUUUCUUCUUAGAAUGUAUUGAUUUGACCCCAUAAGCGGGAUCGCCACCCCAUAGCAUGUUGCCGCCAGAAUCAGAAACCCUGUAUUUCUUCCGGAGAAUCUCCUAAUUGUUCAAGAGCAACUAGAAAGAGAUUCUUUAACCAUAAAGAAUUCAGUUCAGGUGAAGGAUAACUAUCCAGAAGCUUUCCCAACUCCAUCAUGUACGAUGGAAUCAUUAAAGAUUUGAUCUUUUCUAACUUUGUAUGUAACUCACUAGAGACUCAGGAAACAAAGAGAAGAUGUGUACGAACGAGAUAUCCAGCAACAAGAAGAAGGAAAAGGCUUGAAUAAAAGAACUCUCGAGGACUUGGUGUUCUCAGAUGUGUCCAUAGCAAUGGAACGGGUGACUCAUUAUUUCGAUGAAUCAUUUCUACGGACAGAAGAAGAUUCUAUAAACAUUUACUCGAAAUCUCACUUAUCAGAUUCCAUUGUAGAAGAAUCGCCUGCAAUUUUUUCUGAGGCCAUGCAUAAUAUCAUGAAAAAUGGAUACAAAUUUGUGACUGCUAUUCAGUAUCGGCAAUGGGUCUGAAAAAGUAUCUAAAAGGAUGAAAUUUAGAUAUUUGUACCCUGUCGAAGUAAGGAACCAUGGCAUAUAUGUUCGGAACAGAUUCCAUUUUGAGAUAUUUGAAAAACGUUGAAAGCAUCUGUCGUUUCUCAAUGCAUUUAUUUAGACAAAGAUUCCAUUUUUUCCUCUUUCUAGAUGGUAAAUAUUUCUCAGAACAGGGAGUGUGAAUCAAACCCAUGUUUGAAUUGAAACUGAGAUACUGAUGCAAGUUCUUCCCUUCUGAAUCCGAUCGAUUCAGAUCUCAAAGAGGCUGACAAUAAGUUCCUUCAAAAUUGACUCUUUGUUCCUCUGUCAAAGAGGUGUUCCAGAAAUGUUUGCGGUCGAGUAAAUAGCUCUACGAACGAUUUGUACAAGUUAUAUGUUUCGUCACCACUUUGUGGAAAAUUGUUAGGUAUGAAUAUGUCAUAUACCUAUGACUCAAUUGGAGAAGGUGAAAUCGUAUCUCUCUCCAAAAACACAUGUUUUCUUUACCAAAGAAAAUAACUUGUUGCGAAUGAAUGAGAUAUUGAGGAAUUAUCCAUAUGUAAGAACAUAAUUAUUGAUACGGGUAUUUUCAGCUUAAAAAGGGAAUCUUUUGUUACAAUAGAACCAAAAGUGAUGUGGAUUAUUCAAGAAUCGAAGUUGAUUUGUUUUAUAAAAAGAAGAUAUCAAUGAACUCCUAUGAAAGGGUUUCAAGGGAUUCAGCCAAUUAUCUCGAUCAUGGUAUAUCAUUGAGAAAUAGAAAUCCGUGUUCUCAAAGGAUUUCCCGUGAUUAUUCCUAGUAUGGAAUGAGUCAAUCAUCCACUUUGGUAUCUUAUUGAACCAAUAUCGUGCUAUUGUUCCUCCAUUGAUCAAGAAUUUCGAUCUUUGGGAAGUAUCAUGAUCAUCUAAUAAGAAAGGUUUCAAUUUGUUCAAAUGAACGAUUUGGACACCUAUUGAUUCUAACAACUGAUUGCAGAGUUGAUCAUUCGGACCUUUCAAUUCAUAGAUGUGGAUUUUGGACUUAUGAACGGGGAUAUUCUCGAUACUCACAAAGAAAAAAGGAAGUGACUUAGACAAAAAGAGAAGCGACUUGGACAAAAAGAAACGAAAUGACUUAGACAAAUCUUGUUUGUCGAUAACCUCGAACCAAUCAAUCGAAUGUUGAUUAAUACGUAAUCGAUCGAACACUACUUGAAAACAGUUCUUCUGUUCAGAAACGAAAUGUUCCAAAUGUUCUUGGAAAUUUUUGCUCCCAUUGGACCAUUUGUAUCUAUAUGCAUUAAGAUCCCGAUUCAUGGAUCUCUCAGUUUGAGAAAUAAGAGGAUCAAACCAUUUCUUCUUACUCUUUUUCAAAUUCGAGAAAUGGUGGUUGAUCGUAUAUUUCAUUAUAGUUAAUAUGAUUCAGAGUAUCAUUUCCUAUUUGAUCCCUUUGAAUUCCAUAUUCGAAGUUGCGAUCGGAUCUAUUCAUUAAAAAGAAUCUCUUCGAUACAUUUCUUAUGCUUUUUCAGAUAUAGUGGAUUUGAAUCAUAUUUCGGAUCAAUCUAUGUUGAUUGACUGCCUCCAUUAUGUUGUUGCUAGCAACUACCACUAUUUUUGGAUCUUCCAAACCAUUCAUGCAGGAGAUCCGAACCAAUUUUAUUCUGAUCCUUUGAUAAAAAGAUUCAUUCUCUUCAUACUUUUGGUAGAACCAAUAAAGAUUUCUUUUUCGAUUCAUCCCUGGCCUCAUUCAAGAAUUUUUUUUGAUCCAAUCCAUAGGAAUCAAUAAAAAAGGCAAAUCCCUACUAUGUAGUAGUACAUACUAAUACAUACUAAUAAUAAUAGAAUGUACUACUAGUAUGUACUACUAGCAUACUACAUACUAGUAGUACAUACUACUAGUAGUACAUACUAGUACUACAUACUAGUAGUACAUACUAGUACUACAUACAAGUAGUACAUACUAGUACUACAUACUAGUAGUACAUACUAAUAUAUACUAAUAAAUACUAGUUGUACAAACUAGUAUGAACUGGUACAAACUAAUACUUACUAGUACAGACUAAUACAUACUAGUAUGAACUACUAGCAAACUACAUACUAAUAGUACAUACUACUAGUAGUACGACCAGUAGUACUAGUAAUACUAGUUGUACAUACUACUUGUAGUACUACCAAUAGUAAUAGUACUACUAGUAGUGCUUACUAUUGAAAAUACUACUAGUAGUACAUACUACUAGUAGUACUAUUAUUAUUAAUGUUAAUAUUAGUAGUAGUACUACUACUAGUACUAUUACUAAUACUAAUAUUAGAACAAGUAGUACAUACUACUAAUACUAUUACUCAUACUAAUAUUAGUAGUAGUAGUACAUACUCUUAGUACUACUAGUGUGGACUACUAUUACAACUAGUACUACUAGUACCAGUAAUAGUAGUACAUACUAAUAUGUACUAGUAGUAUGUACUAUAAGUAUGUACCACUAGAACUACUAGUAUGUACUACUAGUAGUAGUACUAGUAUGUACUACUCGUAUGAACUAGUAUGUACUACUCUAAUGUACUAGUAUGUACUACUAGUACGUAAUACUAGCAUGUAGUACUAGUUUGUACUACUAGGAUGUAUUAUACUUCUAGUAGUAUUAGUGCAUGUACUACUAGUAUGUUAGUAUGUACUAAUAUGUACAAGUAUGUAUCAUAGUAUGUACUAGUAGUAUUACCAGUAUGUCCUAGUAGUACUAGUAUGUACUACAAGUAGUACGUACUACUACUAAUAUGUACUAAUAGAAUGUACUAGUAAUAUGUACUACAAGUAUGUACUACUAGUAAUGUGUACUACUAGUAGUACAUACUAAUAGUAGUAUGUACUAAAAGUAGUAUGUAUUACUAAUAGUAUGCUAGUAGUACAUAUUAGUAUGUAUUAGUAUGUACUAGUAUGUAUUAGUAUGUACUAGUACAUACUAAUAUGUACUACAAGUAUGUAUUAGUACGUAUUAGUAUGUACUAAUAUGUAGUACUAGUAUGUACUAUUAGUAUGUACUUGUAGUAUGUACUACUACUAUGUAUUAGUAGUAUGUACUAGUAGUAUAUAUUAGUACUACUGGUAUCUACUUCUAGUAGUACUACUAGUAUGUACUAGUAUGUACUACAAGUAUGUACUAUUAGAAGUACUAGUACUACUAAUAUGUACAAGUACUACUAGUAUGUACUACUUUGUACUAGUAUGUACUACUAGUAUGUACUACUAGUAUGUACUAGUAUGUACUAAUAUGUACUAGUAUGUAUUAUUAAUACUAGUAUGUACUACUAGUACUACUCAUACUUUUACUAUUAGUACUACUAGUAGUUUUACUACUAGUACUAGUAUGUGCUACUAAUAUUAGUGCUACUAGUAGUAGUUACUAGUUUUACUCGUACUACUAGUAUGUACUACUAGUAGUAUGUACUUGUAUUAUUAGUAUUAGUACAAUACUAAUAUUAGUUGUAGUACUUUGAAAGGCACCCUCUGAUUUAAGAAUAAAAAAUGGAAGAUUGGUUAUGAAGAUUUCGCACGAUCAGAGAUUCGUAUAGACACAAAGGGGUUCGACAGGAAAGUCGUUUCGAUCCAAUCAAUUCUUGGGGUCUUAAAAAGAUACUGGAUAUGUCAGUUACCUUGCACGACAAAGCAUUCUCCGAGGGCAUGGAAUGUCUAAUUUUUCGGUCAGAAUCUCGACUGUAAUGUCUCUGUUAGAUUCUCAAGUAAAAAUAUGGGAAAACCCAAUUCCAUUCUCGAUGGAAACGGAGUUUUGUGAAUUAUCCCCAUAACUGCAAGAUCAUUUCGAGAUCUUCGAGCAUAUUUGAUGGUUCAAUGCGACUAUUGUCACUUCGGCCAAUACACAAGAUGAGACUUUACCACUGUAGAGCGGCUUUCUGCAAAAAGAUGAAGGGGAUUAUCUGUAAGAGAUCGGAGAAGAGAAAUAUACGAGAUCACAAAUAUAGAUUGCUCAUGGCUACUUAUGAGUUGAGAUGAAAGCUUUAUAAAGCCUUUUGUAAAGAUCUCGAUCUUCCUAGUGAUAUGCGAGACAAACAACAUUAUAAGUUGUCCAAGUUGCCAUGAAAUAGUUCGUUUGCACGAGUAGUACGAAGUACAUAGUACUACUACAUAUGUAUUAGGACUACUAGUACUACUAUUACUAGUACUACUAGUACUACUAUUAAUAGUACUACUAGUAGUACUAGUAGUACUACUACUAGUAGUACUAGUACAUACUAGUACAUAUUAGUUCAUACUAGUAGUACUAGUACAUUCUAAUAGUACUAAUACUACUAGUACAUACUACUACAUAUGUCUACUAGUAGUACAUACUACAACUAGUCGUACUAGGUACAUACUAGUUUGUACAAUUAGUAAUACUAGUAGCACUGGUAUAUACUACUAGUACUAGUAGUACAUAUAUAGACUAGUACUAGUACUGCUAAUGCUACUAGUACUUAUGUACUAGUAGUGCAUACAUACGUCUUACUAGUUCAAACAUAGUAGUACAUACAUAAAACUACUACUAUGUACUACUAGUGCUACUAGUUCAUACUACUACAUAUGUACAUCCACUAGAAGUACAUACUACUACUAGUAGUACUAUGUACAUAGUACUAUGUAGUACUAUGUAGUAUUACUAAUACUAGUAGUACUAGUAUUAUUACUACUACUAGUAGUAUGUACUAGUACUACUACUGGUAGUACUACAUUUAGUAUGCAUUACUAGUACAUACUAGUACAUACUAGUACUAUCUACUAGUAAUAGUAGUACUACUGGUAUGUACUACUAGUACUUAUGUACUAGUAUUGCAUACAUAUAAACUACUAGUACAUACAUAGUAGUACAUACAUACUACUACGAGUAUGUACUACUAGUACAUGCUACUACAUAUGUACAUCUACUAGAAGUACAAACUACUACUAGUAGUACUAUGUACAUAGUAUUAUAUAGUACUAGUCUCUAGUAUUAUAUAGUAGUACUAAUACAAGUAGUAGUACCUCUACUACUAUUAGUACUACAACCAGUAGUAUGUACUAGUACUACAACUAGUAGGACUACAUUCUAGUAUGCUGUACUAGUACUACAUAGUACAUACAAGAAUGUAGUACUAGUACUAAAUAGUACAUACAUGUACUACAAAGCACAUACUAGUAGUACUACUAGUAUGUACUACUAGUAAUACUACAAGUACUAAUACUGCUUGUACUACUAGUACAUAUGUACUAGUAGUACGUACAUAUGUACUACUAGUACAUAAACAGUAGUACAUACAUACUACUACUAGUACAUAUGUACUAGUUGUUCAUACAUAUGUACUACUAGUACAUACAAAGUAGUACAUAUAUACUACUACUAGUAUGUACUACUAGUGCUACUAGUGCAUAUACUAUUACGUAUGUAUAUCUACUAGUAGUACAUACUACUACUAGUAGUACUACGUACAUAGUACUAUGUAAUACUAUUACUACAUUGUAUAAAUUGUAGUGCUAAGUACUACCAGCAGUACUACUAGUAGUACUAUGUACUAAAUACAUAUGUACUAUUAGUAAUACUAUGUACUAAAUACAUAUGUACUACUAGUACUACUAGUAGUAUUACGUGUACCAGUAUGUACUAUGUAGUACAUAUGUACUAGUACUACUACUACUACUAGUACAUAUUACAUAGUACUACUAGUACUAGGAGACAUAUGUACUAGUACAUAUGUAAUACUAGUAGUACAUAGUAUAUAGUACAUAUGUAUAAUGUGCAUGUACAUAUGUACCAGUAGUACUAUAUACAUACAGCAUAACCAUACUAUGUACAUACUGCAUACCCCUACUAUGUACAUACUGCAAAACCAUUGCAACAAAAUCAAAUCUUUCAUAAUUGGCUAACAACUCCAAUUUCUUGCACUACUAGUACUAUUUAAUACCAGUACUACAUACUAGUACCUACUAGUAGUACCAGUAGUACAUAUUAGUAGUACUAGUAGUAUAUUCUACCAGUAUGUACUAGUAGUAUAUACUACUAGUAUGAACUAGUAGUACAUACUAGUACUAUAUAGUAGUACAUACAUACUACUACUAGUUGUAUUAUUAUUACUACUAGUAGUACUAUGUACAUAACACUAAUACCUAUGUAGUACUAGUACUAAAUAGUAUUACUACUAGUAGUACUAUCUAGUAGUACAAUUAGUACAUUUGUAGUACUUACUACAUAAGUACAUGUACUACAUUUGUAGUAGUACUAUUACAUAGUACUACUAGUAGCACUAUGUAGUACAUGUGUUAUACUAGUACUUGUAGUACUAGUGGUUCUAUAUACCACAUACAUAUGUACUACUAGUAGUAUAUAUGUAUGUAGUACAUACAUACAAAUGUACCACUAUUAAUAGUACUACUUGUACUAGUCGGUACAUACUUCAUAGUCAUUCUGGUAGUACUUCUACUACUAUGUACAUACUGCAUAACCACACUAUUUACAUACUGCAAAACCUUAUUAUGUACAUUCUGCAUAACCAUUGCAACAAAAUCAAAACUUUCAGAAUUGGCGAACAACUCCUAUAUCUUGUACUACUAGUUCUACUAGUAGUACAUACUAGUAUAUAUUAGUAGUACUAGUAGUAAUUACAAGUAGUAUGUACUAGUAGUACUACUAGUAUGUACUACUAGUAAUACUACAUGUACUAGUAGUACAUUUGUACUAAUACUAGUACUGCUAGUAUUAUUAGUACAUAAGUACUAGUAGUACAUGCAUAUGUACUACUAGUACAUACAUAGCAGUACAUACGUACUACUACUAGUAUGUACUACUAGUACUACUAGUAUAUACUACUACAUAUGUACAUAAACUAGUAGUAUAUACUACUACAUAAGUACAUCUACUAGUAGAACAUACUACUAGUAGUACUAUGUAAAUAAUACUAGUACCUAAGUAGUAUUAGUACUAUAUAGUACUACUCAUAGUAGUACAAUGUAGUAGUACAUUUGUAGUACUACUAUAUAGUAGUAAAAGUAGUGCCAUGUAGUACAUAUGUACAACUAGUAGUAUUAGUAGUACUAUAUAGUACAUACAUAGUAUGUACUUACUAUUACUAGUAUCUACAUACUACUACUAGUAUGUACAUACUAAUAGUACAUGCUAGUAGUACAUACUAGUAUGUACUACUACCAUUAUUAGUAUAUUCUACUACUACUAGUACUACCAACUUGUACUAGUAUGUACCUGUAGUACAUACUACGAGUUUGUACUAGUACUAUGUAUUUACUACUAGUAUAUACCAGUAUUAUAUAUGUACUACUACUAGUAGUACAUACUACUACUAGUACAUACUACGAGUUUGUACGAGUACUAUGUAUUUACUACCAGUAUGUACUAGUACUAUAUAUGUACUACUAGUAGUACAUACUACUACUAGUACAUACUUUCUAAUACCACUAGUACAAGUACAUAUAUACUUGUUUUACUAGUACAUACAUAGUACAUACUAGUACUAAUACGUACGUAAUAAAUAUUAGUACAUAGUAUAUACAUAGUACUACUAAUACAUAUGUAUGUACUAGUAGUUCAUAUGUACUAGUACAUACUACACAAGUACUAGUAGUACAUAUGCACUAAUAUGUACUAGUACAUACAACACAUGUACUAGUAGUGCAUACUACAUAUGUUCUAGCAUGUACUAGUACUACAUAUGUACACAUGUAGUACUAGUAGUACUACUAGUACUAGUAGUACAAGUACUAGUACAACUAUUACUAGUAAUACUAGUACUACGAGUACAUACUAAAAGUACUAAAACUACUUGAACAUACUACUACAUAUGUACAUGUACUAGUAGUACAUAAUACUACUAGUAGUACUAUGUACAUACUAGUGUGUACAACUAGUAAUACUAAUACUACUGAUAUGUACUACUAGUACUAGUAGUACAUAUGUACUAGUAUUGGUACUGCUAAUACUACUGGUACUUAUGUACUAGUAGUACGUACAUAUGUACUACUAGUACUUAGGUACUAGUAGUUCUUACAUAAGCACUACUAGUUCAUACUACUACAUAUAUACAUCUAUUUGAAGUACAUAUAACUACUAUUAGUACUAUGUACAUAGUAGUACUAUGUAGUAUUAGUAUUAGUCCUACUACUAGUAGUAUAUACUUGUACUACUACAAGUAGUACUACAUUCUAGUAAGCAGUACUAGUACAACAUAGUACAUAUUAGUACAUGAUAGUACUAUGUACAGACUAGUAUGUACUACUAGUAAUAGUAGAACUACUGGUAUGUACUACAAGUACUAGUAGUACAUAUGUACAAGUAGUAGUACUGUUAGUACAACUAGUAGUUAUGUACUAGUAGUAAAUACAUAUGAACUACAAGUACAUACAUAGUAGUGCAUACAUACUACUACUAGUAAGUACUACUAGAACAUACUACUGCAUAAGUACAUCACUAGAUGUACAUACUACUACAUAUGUACAUCACUAGAAGUACAAACUACUACUAGUAGUACUAUGUACGUAAUACUAUGUAGUAGCACUAAUAAUAGUAGUAGUACAACUACUAGUAUUUACUAGUACUACUACUAGUAGUACUACGUACAUAGUACUAUGUAGUAGUACUAAUAAUAGUAGUAGUAGUACUACUACUAGUAUUUACUAGUACUACUACUAGUCGUACUUUCUUCUAGUAUGCAGUACUAGUAGAUACUAGUACUAGUAGAUACUAGUACUACAUAGUACAUAGUAGAAUGUAGUAUUAGUACUACAUAGUACAUACUAGAAUGUAGUACUAGUACUACAUAAUACAAACUAGAAUGUAUUAUUAGUACUACUUAGUACAUACUAAUAGUACUACUAGUAGUUAGUACUAAUAGUACUACGAGUACUAAGUAAUAUUAGUUCUACUAGUAGUAGAUACUAGUAGUACUAGUAGUACAUACUACUAGUAUGUGCUAGUAGUACUACUAGUUUGUAUUUCUAGUAAUACUACAAGUACUAGUACUGCUAGUACUACUAGUACAUAUUACUAGUAGUACAUACAUAUGUACUACUAGUACAUACAUAGUCUAACAUAUAUACUAUUAGUACUAUAUACUAUUAGUACUACUAGUACAUAUAAAACUACGUAUGUACAUCUUCUAGUAGUACAUACUACAACUAGUUGAACUAUUUACAUAGUUAUGUAAUAUUAGUACUACAUGGUACUACUACUACUACUACUGUGUAGUAGUACAAGCAGUAUAUUUGAAUUACUUCUACAUAUAUACAUGUACUACUACAUAGUACAACCAGUAGUACUAAGCACUACUAGCAGUACUAUUAGUAGUACUAUGUACUAUAGACAUAUGUACUAGUAAUAGUACUAGUAGUACUACAUAUGUACUACUAAUACUACUAGUAGUACUACUUCUAGUACCACUUGUACCAGUAUGUACAAUGUAGUACAUAUGUACUAGUAGUACUACUCGUACUAGUACACAUACAUACUAGUACAUAUGUAAUACUAAUAAUACAUAGUACAUAGUAUAUAGUACAUACUAGUAGUUCUAGUACUACCUACUACUAGUACAUACUACUAGAACAUAAUAGUACUCCUACAAGUACUACUAGUACUAGAAUGUAUUAGUAGUAUGUAGUACUACUUUUACCUAGUAGUAUGUAAUACUAGUACUACUAGCAUGUACUAAAAGUUUGUAAAACUAGUACUACUAGUAGUUACUAGUACUAGUACGUACUACUAGUACUAAUAGUAUGUACUACACUAGUACUAGUAGUACAUACUAGUAUGUAGUACUAGUAGUACAUACUAGUAUGUAGUAGUACUAGUAUUAGUACUAAAAGUAGUAUUAGUACUCGUACUACUAGUAUGUACUACAAGAAUGUAUUAUCAGCAGUACUAGUCUUAGUAUUUACUACUGGUACAUACUCAUAGUACAUACUUAUAAUACUACUACUAGGAAUAGUAAUAGUACUACUAAUACAAGUAGUAAUACUACUACUAGGACUAGUACUAGUGCUACUAGUACAAGUAGUAAUACUUCUACUAGUACUUGUACUAGUGCUAGUAGUAUGUAUUAGUACUAGUAGCACAUACUAAUUGUACUAGUACCUAGUUGUACUAGAAGUACUAGUAGUACAUACUAGGAGUACUAGUAUUACUAGUAAUAUUAGUAUUAGUUCUAGUAUAAGUAUUACUAGUGUUAGUAGUAUGUACUAGAAGUAUGUACUACUAGUACCAGUACAUACUAAUUGUACUAGUACUAGUAGUACUUGUAGUACCUACUUCUAAUGCAUACUAGUAGUACUAAUAGUACUGUACUAGUACUAGUAAUCUUAACACUUGUAGUACAAACUAAUAGUACUUAUCGUAUAUACUAGUAGUACAUACUACUAAUAAAUAUUAUUUCUACUACUACCAGUACUAAUACACCUAGUGCAAGUAGUACUAGUAGUAGUACUACUAGUGUUACGUACUACUACAAGUACUAGUACAUACAUAGUACAUACUAAUACAUACAUAUGUACUAGUAGUACAUAUAUACUAAUAUGUGCUAGUACAUACUACACAUGUACUAGUAGUACGUACUACAUAUGUACUAGUAUGUACUAGUACUACUUAUGUACACAUGUAAUACUGAGCAGUUUAGGGUCAUUCUGUUUGGGCUGAGGCUGAACAGUUUAGUGAUACUAGUACUAGUCGUAGUAUGUAAAUACUUGUAAUAGUAUUACUACAAGUAGUACUAGACGUAUGUACUAGUAGUAUGUACUAGUACUACUUGUAGUAAUACAUUAUAGUAUGUACUAUUACUAGUAGUACUACUAGUACUAGUAGUACUACUAAGUACCACUAAUAUGUUUUACUAGUACUACAUAUUUACUAGUACUACUACUAGUAGUAUAUACUAAUGCUCCUAUUAAUAGUAGUGCAUUCUACUAUAUAGUCCUAUUACAUACUAGUACUACGUAGUACAUACUAGUACAUACAAGUACUAUGUACUACUAGUAGUACUAGUAGUAUAUACUAAUAGUAGUAUGUACCACUAGUAGUAGUAUUAAUAGUAGUACUAGUACAUAGUAGUAGUUGUAUGUACGACCAGUAGUACUAGUACUAUGUACUACUAGUAAUGCUAGUAGUAUGAACUACUAAGAUUACUAGUACUAUGUACUACAAGCUCUAAUAGUACUAUCUACUACUAUUACUACUAGUAGUACCUGUAAUACAAACCAGUAGUACUAGUAAAACAUACUAGUACUACUAGUAUGCACUACAGUGCUAGUAGUAUUAUAUACUACUAAUAUGUACUAGUAGUAUGUACUAUUAGUACUAGUACAUCUAUUAAUACUAGUAGUACUAGUAGCUGUACAUAGUACGACUAGUACUACUAGUAGUUCAUACUAGUACUACUAAUAGUACUAGUAUAAGUACUACUAGUACGACUAGUACUACUAGUAUGUACUAGUAGUAUUGUACUAGUACUACUAGUAUGUACUCCUAAUACUAUUAGUGUGUACUACUAGUAUGUGCUACUAGUAGUACUUGUACUAGUACUAUUAGUACUAGUACAACUGCAGAAUCAUGCUUUUGACAUUGUUACACCUUUACCCCCUGAAUGUGAAAAUACUGCCUUGUUCAUUAAAGUUGAAGACAAUUCCUAACUUAUUUUCCAUUACAUCCCUAGAAAAAUUUCACGGGCACGAUUGCUUGAAUUGAUUCCCUCCUCUUGGGUCACAAAUUAUGAAAAUUUAAAAACUCAGAGUCAAGCGGUGAUACAAUCAAAAUCUAAGAUGACCCGGAUGCAAGAUGGAACUGUUCAAAUAGAUUUUCAGUCAUCUAAAGAUAAUCUCACCAAAGAGAUUUUCCCUACUCAAUUCCAAGGAUUUCUUGAUAAAGCCGAAUGUUUCUAUCCCAAGUACUUCUAUGGCACCUGAACCUACACCUCCUGGUGUUACUCAACAGCAACUUCAACCAACUCUUGUGACACAACCCCCAAUUCUUCCAAAAAGUGAAACUCAAAUGGUUCAAGCAUCAUAUUCUGAUUCUGAUAUUGUUGCAUCUUCGGUGUUCACACAAAACCUUACUCAGUAAGAACCUUUGCAAGAUACGAGUUCAUUUUUAAAAAACCUUACCAAACAACCUGAGUUAAACCUUCAAACAGAAACCCAAUCCUCUGACUCAGAAUCUUCUGAUACAACGAGUUUUCUAGCCUCUUAUUCCUCUUUUUCUUCAGACCCUUUGUUCAUGAUGGAUCCCUCUGAACAACCUCUUGACCCUGAUCCAGACUCACUUAUAGAUGAAGAACCUAGACCUUAAAACCCUACCUAUGGAGAUUCAUCUAAAGGUUUUACAAUUGAUAACAUCCCUCCUUCAAAAUGGACUGAGAGAUUUCGAGAAAUACAAGGAUGGAUGCAUGCGGAAAUGCUAAACCCUGCAAAUAAAUUAACAAGCACAAUUUCAAAAGUUUUGGUACGACUUCGAGGACGAUUGUUUGAUUGAUAUUUAAGUCUUGGAGAAUACCGUAAAACACAUUUGAGAAACAGUCAAUCCAUUGUUGAAUUCUUGAAUUAUUUGGUAGCUGAAUUUACUGGCCCUGUAAAGCAUGAGCAGAUUACGGCCCGUGAAGAAUAUUUUCAGCUUAAGUGUUGUUCUUUUAAAAGAUAUGAUUUAGAAAAACAAUUUUCUGAAAUGAAUAAGUGUUACCACAAAAUUGGUGGAAUUGAUGACGUGAAUUUAAAGCAAUUUUAUCUUGAGUCUAUUCCUUCUACUCUUGGAAAGGAAGAAACAAAAACUAGGAAAAAUCAAGGAUUGACAGUUCAAAAUGUUUCUUUUGAGGAGAUUUAUCAGUUUUUCCUCCAUGCUUUGGAAAGGUUAUGUGACCAGGUAUAAUUUUUCAAACAGGUGGAGAAAAAUAGGCACCAUGUUGGCAAAUCUUGUGAUAAACCCCAUCUCAAGAUUAAGUGUGAUUCGAAAAAACAAUGUGCUUGCCCCCCUUUUAGAAAAAAGAAGAAGGUUGACCAAAAAAGGAGGAUUACUAUGUUACCUAUGGCAAUCGCAUUCCUUACCCUUCUGGACCUAUUAUUCCGACGGGAUGGGAUGAUAAAUCUGAUGUUGCUGAAUGCAUGGCUUUUGACUCUCAGGGUUCUAAUUAUGCUAUUAAUUUUCCUUCUUUGCAUGAUUAUGAGAAAAUCCAAGAACAUGAAAAGCAUGUGUGGAAAAUAAAAAACCCUAAUACCAGAGAUUCUUCAGGCACAUUAAAGAUUAUUUCUCCAGCCAAAGUAAGCCUUAACUGGCAGGCCGAAAAUGCAAAGUCUCAGAACAAAGCCUUGCUCCACCUUGAGGAAAAACAAAAUCUGAUGUCUUCUCAGUUAAUAGGGUUAGUUAGCAUAAUUACUGAUUUGAAAGGAAAGACGCAAUCUUUGCAUGAGGAGCUAAUGCAGAUUUUACAUUUUGUUAAAGAGACACAUUUACAAUCGUACAUGCUGGCACAGAAAGGAAGAGAAAAAGCAUUUUUGGAAACACAGCUGCAAAGCUUGGAAAUAGAUCUAUGGAUGAAAUCUCAGUACCCUCAAACUUCGUACCAGUCCUCUCCUAACUUGCCUCAACUUCAGCCCUUGUUAGGUACUCCUUAUAUCCCAAGUUACCCAACUUUGAGAUAUUCUGACCCUUUUCCUCUUACAAGAACUAUUUACCCUCCUACUGGCUUAAUACCUCCUAAGCAUUAUGGCUUUCAAUCUUUAAGUUCUUUAGAUACAGAAAGAAAUUUCUCAGAGGAAAAGUUUUUUCCUCAACUCAGGAAUAAGCAGAAUGUUUCUAUCCCAAGUACUUCUAAGGCACCUGAACCUACACCUCCUGUGUUAACACAAAACCUUACUCAGUCCGAACCUUUGCAAGAUAUGAGUUCAUUUUUAAAAAACCUUACCAAACAAUUUGAGUUAAACCUUCUAACAGAAACCCAAUCCUCUGACUCAGAAUCUUCUGAUACAACGAGUUUUCUAGCCUCUUCUUCCUUUGUUUCUUCAGACACUUUGUUCAUGAUGGAUCCCCCUGAACAACCUCCUGACCCUGAUCCAGACUCACUUAUAGAUGAAAAACCUAGACCUCAAAACCCUACCUAUGGAGAUUCAUCUAAAGGUUUUACAAUUGAUGACAUCCUCCUUCAAAAUGGACUGAGAGAUUUCGAGAAAUACAAGCAUGGAUGCAUGCAGAAAUGCUAAACCCUGCAAAUAAAUUAGCAAGCACAAUUUCCAAAGUAUUGGUACAAUUUUGAGGACUAUUGUUUUAUUGGUAUUUAAGUUUUGGAGAAUACUGUCAAACACAAUUGACAAACAAUCAAUCCAUUGUUGAAUUCUCGAAUUAUUUGGUAGCUGAAUUUACUAAGCCUGUAAAGCAUGAAUAGAUUAGUGCUUGUGAAGAAUUUUUUCAGCUUAAGUGUUGUUCUUUUAAAAGAUAUGAUUUAGAAAAACACUUUUCUGAAAUGAAUAAGCGUUGCCACAAAAUUGGUGGAAUUGAUGAUGUGAAUUUAGAGCAAUUUUACCUGGAGUCUAUUCCUCCUACUCAUAGAAAUGAAGCAACAAAAACUAUGGAAAAUCAAGGAUUGACAGUUCAAAAUGUUUUAUUUAGAGAAAUUUAUCAGUUUGUCCUCAUGCUUUGGAAAGGUUAUGUAACCAAGUAGAAUUUGUCUAACAGAUGGAGAAAAAAUAAGCACCUUCUUGGAAAGUUUUGUGAUAAACCCCAUCUCAAGAUUAAGUGUGAUUCGGAAAAACUAUGUGCUUGUCCCCCUUUGGGAAAAAAGAAGAAGGUUGACCAAAAAAGGAAAAAGAAUAAAUUCAAAAGAUUUAAGUACCUUCACAAAUCCAGAUUUCCAAAAAAUAGGAUGAAAAGUUAUCGUUGUUAUGUAUGUGGAAAGAAAGGACGCUUUGCAAAAGAUUGUCCUAACUAGAAAUAGAAACAAAAUAAUAUAAAUAUUUUGUCUGAAGUUUUGGAAGAAAAUGUUGAUGAUGAUCUUGAAUCUAUAUUCUCUCUAGAUGAUGAACAGAAUGAAGAUACAUUAAUUUCCUUUUCAUAUCCAAAUGAUUUUGAGUUGAAUGAAAUCAGCAAUACUGUGGUACCUGAAAUUUUGUCUCCCCAAGAUGAAACCCCAUAAAUAAAUAUCCUUCCAACACAACCUACCCCAAUUGCCUUUAUCCAACUCCUUUGUGAACAUUAUUCCAAACCCUUGACUGUCCCUGCCUUUUUUCACACUGGUGCAUCUACUAGCAUUCUGAAACUAGAUUUAUUGCCAAAAUAUUUUUGGGAAAAUUGCAACCAAACCUUUUGGAGCUGCUAAUGGAGAAAAAUUUUCUAUCCACCAGAUUAGCAAACCUGUUCUUAUUAAACUUUUUCCUAAAGAGGUUAUCCAGCAUAGGAUCUUAGGUUCCUACCUCCCUAACAAAGACCUCUUAUUAGGAUUUGAUGUUUUACAUCAAGAAAAACUUCAAUGGACAGCAAAAGGACGUCAUUUUAGAAACUUAACCUUAUCUUGGAUUGCUAGUCUAGACCAACCCCAAACCUUGGAAAACAUUAGAGAAAAAAUCAUUUCUGAAUUUUUUAAACCAUUGGUUUAAAAAAAAUGGUUUAAAAAAUGCUCCUACUUAUUUUCAAAAGCUUUUAACCACUAUUUUUCAACCCAUUUCUUCUCAAGCUUUGAUAUACAUAGAUGACAUCUUGCUCUUUUCUCCAAACUUGGAGAGUCAUGUCUCUCUCUUAGUAAAAAUUUCACUCCCGUACACACUUCUUUUCUGAUAACAUAAUUCCAUAUUUACUAGUAUCUACUACAAGUAUGUACUAUUAGUACUAGUAGUAUGUACUAUUAGUAACUAGUAUGUACUACUUGAUUUUUCCUAGUUUUUGUUGCUUCCUUUCCAAGAGUAGGAGGAAUAGACACAAGAUAAAAUUGCUUUAAAUUCACGUCAUCAACUCCACCAAUUUUGUGGUAACGCUUAUUCAUUUCAAAAAAGUGUUUUUCUAAAUUAUAUCUUUUAAAAGAACAACACUUAAGCUGAAAGAAUUCUUCACGGGCUGUAAUCUGUUCAUGCUUUACAGGGCCUGUAAAUUCAGCGACCAAAUAAUUCAAGAAUUCAAGAAUUCAACAAUGGAUUGACUGUUUCUCAUUUGUGUUUGACGGUAUUCUCCAAGACUUAAAUACCAAUCAAACAAUCGUCCUCAAAGUCGUACCAAAACUUUGGAAAUUGUGCUUGCUAAUUUAUUUGCGGGGUUUAGCAUUUCUGCAUGCAUCCAUCCUUGUAUUUCUCGAAAUCUCUCAGUCCAUUUUGAAGGAGGGAUGUUAUCAAUUGUAAAACCUUUAGAUGAAUCUCCAUUGGUAGGGUUUUGAGGUCUAGGUUUCUCAUCUAUAAGUGGGUCUGGAUCAGGGUUAGGAGGUUGUUCAGGGGGAUCCAUCAUGAACAAAGGGUCUGAAGAAACAGAGGAAGAAGAGGAUAGAAAACUCUUUGUAUCAGAAGAUUCUGAGUUAGAGGAUUGGGUUUUUGUUUGAACGUUUAAAUCAGGUUGUUUGGUAAGGUUUUUUUAAAAUGAACUCAUAUCUUGCAAAGGUUCUAACUGAGUAAGGUUUUGUGUGAACACAGAAGAUGCAACAAUAUCAGAAUCAGAAUCUGAUGCUUGAAGCAUUUGAGUUUCAUUUUUAGGAAGAAUUAGGGGUUGUGUCACUGGAGUAGGUUGAGGUUGCUAUUGAGUAACACCAGGACGUGUAGGUUCAGGUGCCUUAGAAGUACUUGGGAUAGAAACAUUCGGCUUUUUCCUGAGUUGAGGAAAAAACAUUUCCUCUGAGAAACAUCUUUCAGUAUCUAAAGAACUUAAAGAUUGAAACCCAUAAUGCCUAGGAGGUAUUAAGACAAUAGGAGGGUAAAUAGUUCUUGUAGGAGAAAAAGGGUCAGAAUAUCUCAAAGUUGGGUAACUUGGGAUAUAAGGAGUACCUAACAAGGGUUGAAGUUGAGGCAAGUUAGGAGAGGACUGGUACGAAGUUUGAGGGUACUGAGAUUUCAUCCAUAGAUCUAUUUCCAAGCUUUGCAGCUGUGUUUCCAAAAAUGCUUUUUCUCUUCCUUUCUGUGGCAGCAAGUACGAUUGUAAAUGUGUAUCUUUAACAAAAUGGAGAAUCUGCAUUAGCUCCUCAUGCAAAGAUUGCGUCUUUCCUUUCAAAUCAGUAAUUAUGCUAACUAACCCUAUUAACUGAGAAGACAUCAGAUUUUGUUUUUCCUCAAGUCGGAGUAAGGCUAAGUUCUGAGACUUUGCUUUUUCGGCCUGCCCGUUAAGGCUUGCUUCGGCUGGAGGAAUAGUCUUUAAUGUGCCUGAAGAAUCUCUGGUACUAGCGUUUUUUUUUUCCACACAUGCUUUUCAUGUUCUUGGAUUUUCUCAUAAUCAUGCAAAGGAGGAAAAUUAAUAGCAUAAUUAGAUCCCUGAGGGUCAAAAUCCAUGCAUUCAGCAACAUCAAGUUUAUCAUCCCAUCCAGUCGGAAUAAAAGGUCCAGAAGGGUAAGGAAUGCGAUUUCCAUAGGUAACAUAGUAAUCCCAUUUCCUAGAAAGUUCACCAAGUAAUCCAACAGUUGGAUCUCCUUUCAUAUAUUUCUGAUGGAGUUUUUGUUGGGAAGAAAGUUUCUUUUUCUUUUGAGACAAUUUCUUUUCUUUCUUCUCAUCAAAGCUAUCAUCAUUUUGAAUGCAAGUAGGACAAUCACAACAGUUAAACCAAUUAUGUCCAUCCACAGUUUUUUGCUCAUCGAUGGGUAUUCCCGUUUCAUCAAAAGCAAUUACUGGGACUUUUUCAAGAAAUCCUUGGAAUUAAGUAGGGAAAAUCUCUCUGGUGAAACUAUCAUUAGAUGACUGAAAAUCCAUUUGAACAGUUCCAUCUUGCAUCCAGGUCAUCCUAGAUUCUGAUUAUAUCACCGCCUGACUCUGGGUUUGUAAAUUUUCAUAAUUUGUGACCCAAGAGGAGGGAAUCAAUUCAAGCAAUCUUGCCCUUGAAAUUUGUCUAGGGAUGUAAUGGCAAACAGGUUGGGAAUUGUUAUCAACUUUAAUGAACAAGGCAGUAUUUUUACAUUCAGGGGGAAAAGGUGUAACAUUGUCAAAAGCAUGGUUUUGCAGUCUGUAUACCAUCUGAUAAUGAAGAGUGGCAACAGUUGCUGUUUCAACUUGUCUGGUUCCAGUAAUUUGAACUCGUACUUUGAAAGCAGAGCUUAAGUGAGGCUGUUUGACAGGAAUGUUGAAAUUAGGAAAGAAGGUAACAAAGAUGGUGCCAGCAUUAAGUACCGAGGCAUGCAUGCUGGUAUUCUAGAAACCUGGUAUCUAGCAAUGCAAUUAUGGUUAAAGCUUCCAUUCCUUUCCUACCAUGAAAGGUUAAGGCUAGUUUAAUAGCUUCAAAAUGGAUAUGAGUAUAUCCUUCUUUCAGCCAUUUGGGGAAAAGGUGUCUAGGAAGGUUUAUAGUAAUAUACUGCUCAGCUUGGGUUGCAGAGAUAUGGUGUUGGUCAAAAGAAGAAGCAUGAACAUAUUCUUUUAUAGCAGAAGGGUUAUCUUUCCCAUAAAGUUUCUUGAUUCGCUAGGUCCAGUUUAAGCUAGACUUGUCAAAAACAUGAUAAGGAUUAAUUAACUGAGACUUGGUUUUGAAAACUUUUCAAGAGUAUAGGUUAUUUCAAAAAGGUCUUCCUAUUUUGAAAACAUAGGUCCUAAAUCUUGGUUAGAAGAGGUGGUGACAUCUAUAGAAGUAUCUGAAACAUUGUCUUCAGCCACUUUUUCAAAAACAUAGUACUACUACUAGUUGUACAUACUAGUAAUACUAUGUACUACUAGUACUAGUAUUAAUAGUACAUACUAGUAGUACUAGUACUAGUACUACUAGUGCUAGGUACUAGUACUAGUACUACUUUUACUAGUACUAGUAGUACUAAUAGUACAUACUAGUAGUUCACACUAAUAUGAACUACUACUAUCUUCCUAAAAAGAUCCGAAUCUCAUAAUUUCCAAUCUAUCCAUUCAAGAUUUCCGUUUCUAGAGAACAAACUUUCAUAUUUCAUUUAUCUGUUAGAUAUACUAAUACCCCACCCAAUCCAUCUGGAAAUCUUGUUUCAAAGCCUUCACGAAUGGAUACGAGACCUUUCUUCUUUGCAUUUCUUGCAGUUUUUUCUCCACGAGCAUCAAAAUUGGAAUAGUUUCAUUACUCCAAAUAUAAAGAAAUGUGGUUCUGUUUUUCAAGAGUGAAUCAAAGAUUGUUUUUGUUCUUGUACAUUUUUCAUGUAUGUCAAUUUGAAUCCACUUUUUGUUUUCCUAAGUAAACAAUUUUUUCAUUUACGGUCGAUAUCUAUUGGAACCUUUCUUUAACGCUAUGGAAAAAGAGAAAAUUUUGUAGCGUAAUCAUUCUCAGAAGAUUUUAUGGUUGUUCAAGGAACUUUUCAUGCAUUAUGUUAGAUAUAAAGGAAAAUCAAUGAUGGCUUCAAGGGGCCUGAUGAAGAAAUGGAAAUCUCACCUUGUCAAUUUCUGGCAAUUCCAUUUUGACUUAUGGUCUAAACCGGGCAGAAUCCAUAUAAACGAAUUAUCCAAUCAUUCCUUCUAUUUCCCGAGCUAUCUUUCAAGUCUACGAUUAAAUCCCUCGAUGGUAAGGAGUGAAAUGCUAGAGAAUUCAUUUAUGAUAGAUGUUGUUAUCAAGAGAUUCGAUACAAUAGUCCCAACUCUUUUCCUGAUUAGAUCCUUCACUAUAGUCAAAUUAUGUAACGUAUCAGAGCAUCCUAUUAGUAAGUCGGUAUGGGCCGAUUCGUCAGAUUCUGAUAUUCUCGAUCAAUUUAGUCGGAUAUGCAGACAUCUCUCUCAUUAUCACAGUGGAUCCUCCAAAAAACACAAUUUGUGUUGAAUAAAGAAUAUACUUCGACUUUCGUGUGCUAGAACUUUGGCUCGUAAACAUAGAGCACGGUAGUCGCAAUUUUGAAAAGAUUAGGUUCGGAAUUAUUGGAAGAAUUCCUUAUGGCCUUUCUUUUUCCAAAACCCGUUUCCAUAGUGGACGAAUUUGGUAUUUGGAUAUUCUCUGUAUUCAUAGUCUGGCCAAUCAUGAAUGAUUUAUCGUGGCACCAUGUAAAAUGUAAAUAAAAAGUCUUCAUAACUGGUCAUUGUAUGUAUCUAUAUAUUCUAUCUAUUUAUAUUAUCUACAUAUAUAAUAUAGAUAUAAACAAGUCUCAUUCAUUGAAAUAUUUCAAUACUCUGCUCAUGGAAUGGAGUAGUAGUUGAAUCAACUUAGGAUUCAAGUUUCUUAUAUUUUUUUUCUAGGGAACCGAGUUUUAGAUGUAUACAUAGGGAAAGCCGUGUGCAAUGAAAAAUGCAAGCACGGUUUAGGGAGAGAUCCUUUUCUCUUAUUCAAAGAGUGAGAUUAUCUACUCCAUCCGACUAGUUCUGGGUUCGAGUCCCCAGCAACCCAUUCUUCCCAUAUGGAAAAAUAUUGAAAAAGAAUUUUUUUUUAUUCUUUGUUAUUGAAUUGAAGAAAUUCUCCAUUCAAUUUAUAUGUCAUAUGUCUUUCACCUCAUUUCUCAUUUACAAAUCAUUCGUAUAGAUCUAUCUAGAUUAGAUCUAGAGUCUAGAUAUCUUAAUUAGAUAUAGACCAACUAGAGAUAGAUAUCUUGCAAUAUUAGUCUAUCUUCGAUAUUGGUUGACACAAGCAUAUAGGUCAUGUUAUACUGUUGAAUAACAAGCCUUAAAUUAUCUAUUCUAGAUAAUUUGUGUGCUUGGGAGUCCCUAAUGAUUGAAUAGACCAAGAUCUUGCCAUGACUGCAGUUUUAGAGAGACGCGAAAGCACAAGCAUAUGGGGCCGCUUCUGCAACUGGAUAAUCAGCACCAAAAACCGUCUUUACAUUGGGUGGUUCGGUGUUCUGAUGGUCCCUACCUUAUUGACCGCAACUUCUGUAUUUAUUAUCGCCUUCAUUAAGGCUCCUCCAGUAGAUAUUGAUGGGAUCCAUGAACCUGUUUCUAGUUCUCUAUUUUAUGGAAGCAAUAUUCUUUCUGGUGCAAUUAUUCCAACCUCUACAGCUAUAGGUUUGCAUUUUUACCCAAUAUGGGAAGCGGCAUCCGUUGAUGAAUGGUUAUACGACGGUGGUCCUUAUGAGUUAAUUGUCCUACACUUCUUACUUAGUGUAGCUUGUUACAUGGGUUGUUAAUGGGAACUUAGUUUCCGUCUGGGUAAGCACCCUUGGAUUGUUGUUGCAUAUUCAGCUCCUGUUGCUGCUGCUACUGCUGUUUUCUUGAUCUACCCUAUUGAUCAUGGAAGUUUCUCAGAUGGUAUGCCUCUA
rnacentral:lncRNA from 1 species